rnacentral:rRNA from 1 species
UUGACCUCAAAUCAGGUAGGACUACCCGCUGAACUUAAGCAUAUCAAUAAGCGGAGGAAAAGAAACUAACAAGGAUUCCCCUAGUAACUGCGAGUGAAGCGGGAAAAGCUCGAAUUUAAAAUCUGGCGGUCCUCCCGGCCGUCCGAGUUGUAAUCUGGAGAAGCGUUUUCCGCGUCGGACCGUGUACAAGUCUUCUGGAAUGGAGCGUCGUAGAGGGUGAGAAUCCCGUCUCUGACACGGACCGCCGAUGCUUUUGUGAUACGCUCUCGAAGAGUCGAGUUGUUUGGGAAUGCAGCUCAAAAUGGGUGGUAAAUUCCAUCUAAAGCUAAAUAUUGGCGAGAGACCGAUAGCGAACAAGUACCGUGAGGGAAAGAUGAAAAGCACUUUGGAAAGAGAGUUAAACAGUACGUGAAAUUGUUGAAAGGGAAACGUUUGAAGUCAGUCGCGUCGGUCGAGACUCAACCUGGCUCUUUCGCUGGGGGCACUUCUCGGCCGACGGGUCAGCAUCAGUUUUGACCGUCGGAUAAAGGCCUAGGGAAUGUGGCAUCUUUCGGGAUGUGUUAUAGCCUUGGGUUCGGAUACGGCGAUCGGGAUUGAGGAACUCAGCGCGCCUUCAUUGGUCGGGGCUUCGGCUCACGUUAACGCGUUUAGGAUGCUGCAUA